UUUGUCGAUUAUCAACAGAAAGCUGGAAUAUGUAAAAAAAAGUGGGCACAAUUGAAAUGCUCAGCUCUCCGUAAAAACAGGGAGAAUUUGCAUAAAACUGGUGGGGGCGAGGAGCCGUCCUGUCAGAUGCCUAAACAGUAGUUUUGGAGUUUUUGGUUAUCAAAAAUAGCUCACAGAUAACUGGUGUCAGUGGGGGGUGUGUGGGUAGAUAUUUUCAGUUGUACUGAAACUAUUUCCCAGUCUGCUGCAUUAGGAAGCCACAUGUAUGAUACUGUCAUAGUACCAAGCUGCACUUCUGCUGAUCAAAAUUUCAACAAUGUAG